rnacentral:rRNA from 1 species
CCCCUAGAUGUUCUGGGCCGCACGCGCGCUACACUGAACAGUUCAACAAGUCUUAACCUUGGCCGAUAGGUCUGGGUAAUCUUUGAACGCUGUUCGUGAUUGGGAUAGACCUUUGCAAUUAUGGGUCUUCAACGAGGAAUUCCUAGUAAACGCAAGUCAUCAGCUUGCAUUGAUUACAUCCCUGCCCUUUGUACACACCGCCCGUCGCACCUACCGAUUGAAUGGUCCGGUGAAAUCUCGGGACGGCGGCUUGGUCGCUUGCGUCCGACUGCUGAAACUUGAUUAAACCAUAUCAUUUAGAGGAAGGUGAANUCGUAACA